rnacentral:misc_RNA from 1 species
UUAAGUUCAGCGGGUAUCCCUACCUGAUCCGAGGUCAACCUUGAAAAAUUGGGGUUGCUGGCAGGCGCGCACCCGGGCUCCGCAGCGAGAAGAAUUACUACGCUUGAAGCCGGAUGGCACCGCCACUGAUUUUGGGGCCCGCCGGAACCGGCGAGGCCCAAUACCAAGCAGAGCUUGAGGGUUGUAAUGACGCUCGAACA